rnacentral:rRNA from 1 species
CCCUUAGAUGUUCUGGGCCGCACGCGCGCUACACUGUUCGACGCAGCGAGUCUUAACCUUGACCGAAAGGUUUGGGUAAUCUUCAGCAAAGUCGAACGUGAUGGGGAUCGAUCAUUGCAAUUAUUGAUCGUGAACGAGGAAUUCCUAGUAAGCGCAAGUCAUCAGCUUGCGCUGAUUACGUCCCUGCCCUUUGUACACACCGCCCGUCGCUACUACCGAUUGAAUGGUUUAGUGAGAUCUCUGGAUUGACGCUGGCUAGGGGGCGACCCUUGGCCAGGCUGUCGAGAAACUGCUCAAACUUGAUCAUUUAGAGGAAGUAAAAGUCGUAACA